rnacentral:rRNA from 1 species
AGAGACAGCAGCAGCCACGGUAAUACGUAGGUGGCAAGCGUUGUCCGGAAUUAUUGGGCGUAAAGGGCUCGCAGGCGGUUUCUUAAGUCUGAUGUGAAAGCCCCCGCCUCAACCGGGGAGGGUCAUUGGAAACUGGGAAACUUGAGUGCAGAAGAGGAGAGUGGAAUUCCACGUGUAGCGGUGAAAUGCGUAGAGAUGUGGAGGAACACCAGUGGCGAAGGCGACUCUCUGGUCUGUAACUGACGCUGAGGAGCGAAAGCGUGGGGAGCGAACAGGAUUAGAUACCCGUGUAGUCCCUGUCUCUUAUAA